CUCCACCCUCCUAUCUUGAACAUUGUUUAUAGCAAGUGACUUCACUUUUUACUAUUUAAGUAUAUCUCUGUAUUUACACCUUUUUGGGAGGUUGUGCUAUAUAGUAUAGGCAUUUAUUAAGGGGCGCCCUCGAAGGCACUUAGAUUUUCUAUCUUACAAGUGUCAGGACUACCUAUAUUUUCUACAUAUCUAUUUAUUUUUGCAUCUAAUCCUAGCUUGCUACUGCCUCCUAUUUACAGGUAUUCUCUGCCUCUUCUUAUUCCUUUUUUCUUUUUUAGUUACUUACUUUUAAGGGGGAUAGUUCAGUAUUUAAUUUCUUAUCACCAGUAAACGCAAUUAAAGUGCUUGAUAUGGUGAGUAAUGCAGGAGUGGUAAGUUAAAGACACAUCCUCAGCACUUCCAUGUCGAAAGUGACAUCACCUCAUGAUACUCCAGAUGUGUUUCUGCAUCUUGCAUGCCCAGGCAAUUCUUCUGUCUGGGUUAAUUUAAUUUGGUUGCGCCAGGACAACCAGGCAUUAAAUGUAAAUUUUAAACCUUACAGAAUUUAGAAAUAAAAAAUAGCAGAACCCAUCGCUAACUUUUACUCAUAAGUUUGUGCAAAACUCUGACCUCUCCUUUUAGAAUUUUGGCUAACUAAAGUGCCUCCUUUUUCGAACCACUCGCAAUUAAGCUUCAAUGUUUCUACCUUAUUCCUGGUAGGAUUAGCAAAUCCCCACAGAAAAAAUAAACACACCUUUUUCUCACAUUGGUGAGUUAAAGGACCACUAUAGUGCCAGGAAAAGAAACUAGUUUUCCUGGCACUAUAGGGUCUUUGGGUCCCUCCCACCCUCAGGGUCCUACUCCCGCCGGGCUGAAGGGGGUAAAGGCUUACCUUUCUCCAGCACCGGGCUCCCUCGGCACAGGGGACUCUCCGAUGUCAUCCGCCGAAUCUGCAUGCGCGGCAAGAGCUGCAUGCGCAUUCAAUUAGUCCAUAGCAAAACAUUUCCCGAUGCUUUCCUAUGGACGUCGGCGUCUUCUCACUGUGAUUUUCACAGUGAGAAGCGCAGAAGCGCCUCUAGCAGCUGUCAAUGAGACAGCUACUAGAGGCUAGAUUAACCCUAAUGUAAACAUAGCAGUUUCUCUGAAACUAUGUUUACAGCUGCAGGGUUAACACUAGAGGGACCUGGCACCCAGACCACUUCAUUGAACUGAAGUGGUCUGGGUGCCUAUAGUGGUCCUUUAACUUAGUACUAGGCAGGUUGUGUGUGUGUGUGUGUGUGUGUGUGUUUCAUAUCAAUACACAGCAAUUGAAGGGCUCUCUUUCAGAGUUUAGUUUUCUUAAUUGUGGUUUUGGUAGGAGCUAGAGAGAGGGAUAAAUAAAUUAUUCUAACCCCACCCCCCUCCCAAACUUUAAUGUGUUAGCACACUACAACUCUAAUGAAUUCAGUCAGUUGAUUUUGGCUCUAAACAGUUUCUGCCAUCAUGCGUUUGAUGUCAGUAGCCAAUAAUAAUAUGUGAUGUGCUAACUAAGAGCAUUCCAUUGCAAUUGAUAAAAUAAUACUGCCAUUUGAAUUUCUCAAAUGCUAUUUUUUAUUUUUUUUUAAAAAUAACAAAACCAAAGCAAUUUUAAAAAUUAUCUGCGUGAGUUAUAGUCACUUUCAAAUUUAUUAUGUGAUGAUACAUAUAACAAAUCUGAUGACUCCCACAUUGUAGUAGAAAAUGAAGAGAUGGUAAUUAAUGUGCUUUUUUCUGGUAUUUCUAUGUUCUUGCAUGGCAAUUAUCUUGCAAUGCUUUAUAUUCUAUUUUCAUUUUUUUGUCUCAAUAAAAUAGAAAUUGUUCCAGGGUGUGGUGAUAGUGUAACUUUCUGGGAAAACUUUUUUUUUUUUUUU